rnacentral:tRNA from 1 species
GGAGAUUUAGCUCAGUGGCAGAGCGCUUGCCUAGCAAACGCAAGGCCCUGGGUUCGGUCCCCAGCUCCG